rnacentral:rRNA from 1 species
GAUAAACGCUGGCGGCGUGCCUAAUGCAUGCAAGUCGCACGGGGUGUCCUUUCGGGGGCAUCGAGUGGCGAACGGGUGAGGAACGCGUGGACAACCUACCCCGGCGUGGGGGAUACCCGCCAGAAAUGGCGGCUAAUACCGCGUACGGUUGCUUGGCGGCGGGCUGGGCAAAGAAAGCAGCGAUGCGCGCUGGGAGGGGUCUGCGACCGAUUAGCUAGUUGGCGGGGUAGUGGCCCACCAAGGCGAUGAUCGGUAGCUGGUCUGAGAGGAUGAUCAGCCACACGGGGACUGAGAGACGGCCCCGACUCCUACGGGAGGCAGCAGCAAGGAAUUUUCCGCAAUGGGGGCAACCCUGACGGAGCAACGCCGCGUGACGGAUGACGCCUCUUGGGGUGUAAACGUCUUUUGCCGAGGGAGAGAAUGGACGGUACUCGGCGAAUCAGGACCGGCUAACUACGUGCCAGCCGCCGCAGAG